GCUGCGAUUGCCCAUUGGUUAAGGCGUUGGUCUCGAAAACCAAUGGGAUAUUCCCGCGCACGGGAGGUUCAAAUACUGUUCGGUGCG
rnacentral:tRNA from 1 species